GUGAUGGGAAUUAAAGAACCCCAGGAACACUUGCCCUUAGCAGGGAGGGAGAGAAAAGCUGACCUGUGUGUGGUAAUCAGGCUUCCUGGGGAAGAAGGCAGCCUAAUGAAACCAGCAGUUAAUGACCGAAGUUGAAGAACUAAAACCAGCCCACUGCUCCACAGAGGAACUUAAUUUUCUCACUGGCCAUCCUAUGCUGAGUGUUUUCUUGAAGUACUGGUUGAUGCACAGGACUGGCCACGGGACCGAGGACUAUCACAAACUGAGGAUCAUCUCCUGUUGGGAGGCAUCAGCGUGGUGAUGGUCAUAGCUUUGCUCAGACCCAAUGCACUGAGGAUGAUUUCCAACACUGAUUAAGGCCUUUUUGCUGCCAUAUCAGCCAGAAAAUCCCUCCCAGGGGCAGAGUUGUGCCACAGCCACCUUCCUCCAAGGGCAUGGAGGAUGUUAACAGAAAUGAGGAGUGACCUACAAAGCCCAGCACCGUGAUGGAAGGACUUGGUGAUGUCUUCAGAUGUGCAAGUGAGGACAGCAGGUGGGAGCUUUCUAAGCCAGACAAAGGAGACCUGACAAGAAACUGCAGUGAAAGGACAAACCCAAGGCAAAGGAAUGUCCGGUCACCUCCUUCCCUGGAGCAGGCAGCUGAGAUCUGCAUAGACAGGAAGCAUUUUGCAAGACUCAACACCUGGAGCAGUGCUAACCAGGUCUCACUGCCUCAGGUAGAACUCCAUUUGCAGAGCAUUCCUGCUCCAGGUGGGCAGCCCUGAUGUCGGCCAAGCUCUACGUGCUCAUCAGCUGGCCUGAUGGCAGCCGCGUCAUCAGCAUGGAGAACAUCAAGGAGCCCCGCAAGCCCUUCCAUCUCUAUGCUGUGGGUGAGCAGGUGCUGGCCCGCUGCCCCGGCUUCAGUGGGCUUUACUGGGGUAUUGUGGAAGGCAUAAGUGGUGAGUGACACCCCUCCAGUUUGGGAGCUCACAAUUUGGGGCUGCCUGGGAGCAGCCCUAAGAGAAGAAUUUUGAUGCUAAAAUGUCCUCUCUUGCUACAGAGCAUAAAGAUGCUUUGGAGAAGAAGCUGCUGGAAGACAGACAACUCCUGGAGAAGUUAAGUGAGUUAUGUCUUUGCUUUGGACCCUUUAAUAUGGUAGGAUGAGGGUUUUGGUGAGAAAAUAAUUGAAGAUUGCACCUUUCUGCCUUCAAUGGUAUUUCUGGGUGGGAGGCUGCUGAGUGUUCCAGCACAGCCCUGAUAUCAAGGUAAACAGCAGCACAUGGGAGCAGGGAGAUGCACAGCAAGGAUACCCUAUUAAACGGCUUG
rnacentral:lncRNA from 1 species